GACGAACGCUGGCGGCGUGCUUAACACAUGCAAGUCGAACGGAAAGGCCCUGCUUUUGUGGGGUGCUCGAGUGGCGAACGGGUGAGUAACACGUGAGUAACCUGCCCUUGACUUUGGGAUAACUUCAGGAAACUGGGGCUAAUACCGGAUAGGAGCUCCUGCUGCAUGGUGGGGGUUGGAAAGUUUCGGCGGUUGGGGAUGGACUCGCGGCUUAUCAGCUUGUUGGUGGGGUAGUGGCUUACCAAGGCUUUGACGGGUAGCCGGCCUGAGAGGGUGACCGGCCACCUUGGGACUGAGAUACGGCCCAGACUCCUACGGGAGGCAGCAGUGGGGAAUAUUGCACCAUGGGCGGAAGCCUGAUGCAGCAACGCCGCGUGCGGGAUGACGGCCUUCGGGUUGUAAACCGCUUUCGCCUGUGACCAAGCGUGAGUGACGGUAAUGGGUAAAGAAGCACCGGCUAACUUCCUG
rnacentral:rRNA from 1 species